UAAUAAGUGUUUUUAUGGCACUUUUUUAAAUCCAUAUCCACCUUGUGUGCAAUGUCAGUCGAUCUUCUUCAUGGAGAUCGACCAAACAUCAACCUUUAUCUUUUAACUCUUUGUCUGAAAAAUAUUAUGAAUAAACAAUUCAAAUAC
rnacentral:misc_RNA from 1 species